rnacentral:lncRNA from 1 species
UCCAGCCCUGAAACCUGAGUCUUUAAAAUGGGCAGUAAGCAUAUCUACUCUUUGCUCUAAAGCAGUGGUUCUCAAUUUUCCUAAUGUCAUAACCCUUUAAUACAGCUUCUCAUGUUGUGGUGACCCGACCAUAAAAUUAUUUUAGCUACUUCAUAACUAUAAUUUUGUUACUAUUAUGAAUUGUAAGUAUUUUUAGAGAUAGAGGUUUGCUAAAGGGCUCAUGACCUACAGGUUGAGAACCACUGCUAUAAAGGGUCUUUCAAGGCCAGUCUCUUAAGCCAUCUUCAGGAGCAUAGCUUGAAACAAAGAAAACUAGUGCCUUUUGGCAAAUCAUUUAGAAGGCAUAGAAAAUUGUCUUUAAAUGACAUGGUAGGGAGAAAAUUGCAGAGAGCUAAGCUGUUGUGUGUCUGAAGAAAUAGAGUUGUUUCCAGGAGGAAAUUGUUAACCUUGUUGACUUGCUGAGAGGCUAUUAGAACUCUUAACUAGGUAUGAUGUCAAAAACGAAAAUGAGUUUUAGGGAAAAUACAGAGAUAUAGGAACUGCAUUCAUUACUUGUGGGAAUAUAAAAGAAUACCACCAGUUGGAAGCUAGUGGACUGUUUCUUAAAAAGCUAGGGGUUUGGGAAUGUAGCUCAGUGGUAGCAUGUUUGCUUAGCACAUAUAAGUGCCAGGUUUCAUCCCUCCUUAGCACUAGUAAAUGAAUGAACAAAUGGUUAAGCAUAAACUUAUCAUAUGAUCUAACUAUUGUAUAUACACGGUAUUCUUUUUAAAAAGCAUUUAUGUUUUUAAUCUUAUUUUAGGUAUUUUGCCUACAUGUAUGUCUAUGCCUGGUGCCUGUGAAGGCCAGAGAAGGGUGUUGGAUCCCCUGGAGUUGGAGUCACAAAUGGUCAUGAGUUACAGACUGGGUGCUAGGAGUUGAACUCAGUACUCUUAACUGCCAAACCCUGUACAUAGUAUUCUUAUCUCUACCC